AAUCAACGCUGGCGGCGCGCUUAACACAUGCAAGUCGAACGAGAAAGGGGAGCAAUCCCUGAGUACAGUGGCGUACGGGUGAGUAACACGUGGGUCAUCUACCCUUGGGUGGGGAAUAACCCUGGGAAACCGGGGCUAAUACCGCAUAUCUCCGAGAGGAGAAAGUCGCAAGACGCCUAAGGAGGAGCCCGCGGCCGAUUAGCUAGUUGGUAGGGUAAAAGCCUACCAAGGCUCAGAUCGGUAGCCGGCCUGAGAGGGCACUCGGCCACACUGGCACUGAAACACGGGCCAGACUCCUACGGGAGGCAGCAGUGGGGAAUCUUGCACAAUGGGGGAAACCCUGAUGCAGCGACGCCGCGUGAGCGAUGAAGCCC
rnacentral:rRNA from 1 species